AGUUCUCACCCUAUUAGCUCCCAUGACAGCUGUUUGUUAAAAAGAUCCUGGCACCUCCCCCACCCUCUUGCUUCUUCUUUCGCCAUGUGAUCUCUGCGGUCUCUGCACAUAAUGGUUCCCCUUCUCCUUCUGCUAUGAGUGGAAGCAGCCAGAAGCUUUCAUCAGAAGCAGACGCUGGUGCCAUACCUGCAGAACUGUCAGCCAAAUACUGUCAUGUCUGAAUGGUAGUCCUGAGAUUGCGGCAGCCCUCACAUGAUGAGCCAGAGGAGGAAGCCUCAUGUGAAAGAAAGCAGGACCCACAGCCAUAGUUGCACAGAUCUAUUCAAGCCACGCUGAUCACUGCGCUAACCUCUGGAUUUGUUUGGUUACAGCAGUGAGUUUUCAGUUACUUGCAGCCUAACACAUAUGUUGCUUGAGGUUUAGCUUUUCUGGAUCGCCCUUUUUCUUAGCCCUCCACUCCCAGCCCAAGGUGGCAAUAGAGAAGGUCAGCCUACCUCCCAUCACUCCCUUGCCUUCCGCUCCUCACUCUGAGUGGGCUCUUUCCCUCACUCAAUUCUUUUUUGGCCUCCUAUCCUGGUGACCUGUAAUGAAGAGGAGUCCUCAUAAUUAAUCAUUUGGACCAACCAUGACUUUAGCUCUGAGGUUUGUGUAGAGCCCAGCCCUUCCAUGGGGAACCUAGUGUGGAUGCCCUAGCCUUUCCCAGAAAAUCACCCUUUGAGCACUUCUCAGUUUGCUUGACAAGUUCAAAGUCAUGAGCAUUUUUGAGGUAGAGUGGAGAGGACUCCACCAGACUAUUUCCCCCUAGGAUGCUGAGAGAGUGAGAAAGAGGGUUGGUGCAUACUCAACUGAAAGGAGAUGUAAAGGACAACCGUGUGCUCUUCCAGAUCCAUUGACCCAUGCUCUGCUCUUUUUCACCCUGGCCUGUGCCCUGUGAGACUGAGCUCUGCAGACUACACCACCCAAGCUCUCUUGCCUUCUGGCUUCUAGAUUGGUAGGGCCAAUAGGAGGCAGCAGCAGGAGAUUAGAAGGAGAGACUGUCAGGUAGGGAUAUUAUUCCCUCAACACUGGGAGGAUUGGCAUCCCUUUAGGACCACAGCUCCUGCCGAGUGCCCUUCAUCCACAGCUGUGUCUCUCCCCAGAAUCUGGGAUCUUUGUCUCUCUUUACUCCUUUAGGCUAGGGGUAGUAAUGGCUCCCUGGUAUUUCUAGUCCCAGGGUGUUUCAUCAGCUCUUAGGCAUUCCCCACUGACCUCUGUGUAUGCCUCUGUCAAUAGAACAAUUAAACUCCUUCACUUGAAACCUUUAAAUGUGCAUCUGCUUCCUGCCAGAACCCUG
rnacentral:lncRNA from 1 species